rnacentral:rRNA from 1 species
AUUGAACGCUGGUGGCAUGCCUUGCACAUGCAAGUCGAACGGUAACAGGUUAAGCUGACGAGUGGCGAACGGGUGAGUAAUACAUCGGAACGUGCCCAGUAGUGGGGGCUAGCCCGGCGAAAGCCGGAUUAAUGCCGCAUACGACCUAAGGGCGAAAGGGGGGGAUCGCAAGACCUCUCGCUAUUGGAGCGGCCGAUGUCAGUUUAGGUAGUUGGUGGGGUAAAGGCCCAACAAGCCGACGAUCUGUAGCUGGUCUGAGAGGACGACCAGCCCGACAUGAACAGACACACCGUCCAGACUCAUACGGGAGGCAGCAGUAGGGAAUGUUGGACAAUGGGCGCAAGCCUGAUCCCGCCAUACCGCGUGGGUGAAGAAGGCGUUCGGGUUGUAAAGCCGUUUUGUUGGGAAAGAAAUCCAGCUGGUUAAUACCCGGUUGUGAUGACGGUACCCAAAGAAUAAGCACCGGCUAACUUCGUGCCAGCAGCCACAGUAA